GCCAGGUGUGGUGGCACGCACCUGUAAUCCCAGCUACUCAGGAGGCUGAGGCAGGAGAAUUGCUUGAACCUGGGAGGCAGAGGUUGCAGUGAGCCGCGAUUGCGCCACUGCACUCCAGCCUAGGUGACAGAGCAAGACUCUGUCUCAG
rnacentral:SRP_RNA from 2 species